rnacentral:rRNA from 1 species
UACGUAGGGGGCAAGCGUUGUCCGGAAUCAUUGGGCGUAAAGCGCGUGUAGGCGGCUGGGUAAGUCCGCUCUGAAAGCCCGGGGCUCAACCCCGGGAGGCGGGUGGAUACUGCUCAGCUCGAGUCCGGAAGGGGAGUGUGGAAUUCCUGGUGUAGCGGUGAAAUGCGCAGAUAUCAGGAGGAACGCCGAUGGCGAAGGCAGCACUCUGGGACGGUACUGACGCUGAGACGCGAAAGCGUGGGGAGCAAACAGG